ensembl:lncRNA
GUGAGUAACACAAGGAGAACCAGAGGGAACCUGUACUUACAGUACGCUGUGUUCAGCCCAGAGGUGAGAGCCAUUCAAAGCAAACUAACUGUGCUAUUGUGCCUAAGUUGAUACCUGUGGAGAGAAAAGGAGAGAGAGUGGGUAACACGAGGAGAGACCGAGGAAACCUGUACUUACGCCGCUGCCUGUGGAGAAAGAGAAAGCGACCGUUGCCUGUGGAGGAAGAGAAAGAGACCGUUGCCUGUGGAGGAAGAGAAAGAGUGAGCACCUCGAGAACGAACUGUGUGAACCAGUACUUACCGUGAGCUGUAUUCAGCGAAGAGGAGGAAGAAGGAGGGCGCUACGGAUACCUAAGACUCAGGCCGGGGCCCGAGUCCCACGCCCCGGAUCCCCGUGGCCCCCUUGCUCCCUGACCUCUUCCCGGCCAUAGCCCAUCUGGAGGGCCGAGUCAGAGUUUAGUUUUAAUUGCCCUUUCCCUAUUCCCCA